rnacentral:lncRNA from 1 species
AAUUUUCGAGUUAAUCGAGUUUUCGAAUCUCAUUUUAUCAUCCUAACUUUAUUUGAAGUUUUCUCGAAUCGAGUCGAGUGAGAUGGAAUUCGAAUCGAAUCGAAUCGAAUAUAUUUGUUCGAGUUAAAUUUUAAAAAAUAAUUUUGGGUCCUUGUAACCAUUGUCACCCAUCGUAAUAAAAUUUGUCCACCUUAAUCAAAAUUUUUAUUAACUUUCAUCACUUC